rnacentral:rRNA from 1 species
AACGAACGCUGGCGGCAGGCCUAAAACAUGCAAGUCGAACGGGUGUAGCAAUACAUCAGUGGCGCACGGGUGAGUAAAGCGUGGGAACAUGCCCCUUAGUACGGGACAACGUCGGGAAACUGACGCUAAUACCGUAUAAUAUCUCCGGAUCAAAGAUUUAUCGCUGAGGGAGUGGCCCGCGUCUGAUUAGCUAGUUGGUGAGGUAAUGGCUCACCAAGGCUACGAUCAGUAGCAGGUCUGAGAGGAUGAUCUGCCACACUGGGACUGAGACACGGCCCAGACUCCUACGGGUGGCAG